AGCAACGCCGAGGGCUGUGGGCAGAUGAGGGUAAAGUCAGACAGGCCCGCUUAAGCUGGCCUGAGAGAAUCCUGGACGCAAGCUCCCAGCACCUCUGGAGGGGCAGAGCUUCUAUUUCUACCCUCCAAGAAGGUCAGCCCUCUAGUGCGUGUCCUGAGCAGAGGGCCACUCCCACUCCUCAAGACCUCCCUCCCCUAACAUUCCCUAGGCCUUACUAUUCCCAAGCCCUGGAAGGAGACACACUGGGGCCCCUCCUCUAACCUCCCAAGCCCAGGUUCCCGGAAAAGGCUUCCCGUCUGCAGCAUGACCUCAGGGAGCUUCCAACUCAUACCUGUUAGCCACACAUCCCAUGCUGUCACAGAUUUACCUCCAGAUGGCAGGGGGCAAAGACCACACUUUUCUUUCUCCCUCUCCUUUCUCUUUCUCAUGGGUCCCGGUCAUUCAAACCUUUCAAAUCUCGGUACUCUAACGAGAUUCUCUCCAUUUCUAAUGACCCACUGUGUUCUCAACUUCCCAGGACUGGCACCCCAAGAUGCUUAAGUGACCCUUCUCAGCCAGCACAGAAAGCCUUCUGCUCCAAGAUAUCCAAGAGGAUCCCUCAAGCAGCCUGGGUAAUCUCCCGGGUUCCCUGGGAUUCUACGAGCCAGCCUAACAUCUCAACAAAAUUCAAGCUCUACUUUCCAGGACAAGCACGUGCAAAGCACGACGGGAGAUGUAGUCCUGCAAAUUCUGGCGCUAUCGUGGGAAAAAUGGGAUACUGGGGCCAGCCGGCACUACAACUAAGAUGGCGAAAGGCAUGCCAUGCUGGGAGCCGAGCAUGGCGGGAAUUAUAGUCCAGUUGACCAGAGACUCCCCGUAGCAGGACAUAGAGAAGGAGCGGGAACGAUGACUACAAACAAGAUGGCCUUUUCUCCCGACCCGACCUCCUUUCCAGGCACUCACACGCCCUCUGGUCCACAACCCUCCGCGUGUGUGGUACCUGACGGGAGUCGCAGUCCAUCUGCUGCCUUCCCGCUGCCAUUUCUACUCGUCAGGAACAAUGGAAAGGUGAAAAGGAACAAGGACUACAAGCAAGAUGGCGAACGAGGGGCGUACACCUAAUAAAUUGGUUUUUAUGAAGUGG